rnacentral:rRNA from 1 species
AGCAGUUCGAGCGGAUAGGNUCUCACUCUGUACUUAAAUUUUAUUGANUGCGCCNUUUAAAAUACACGAGCGGCGGACGGCUGAGNUAACGCGAUANNAAUGUACCCCAAAGUGAGGAAUAAGCCCGGGAAACCGGGUCUAAUGCCGCAUAAUCUCUUUUGAGGAAAGCCUUCGGGCGCUAUGGGAGCGGCCUGCGUAUGAUUAGCUUGNUGGUGAGGUAAAAGCUCACCAAGGCGACGAUCAUUAGCUGGUCUGAGAGGAUGACCAGCCAGACUGGGACUGAGAACGGCCCANACCCCUACGGGGGGCAGCAAUUAGGAAUCUUUCACAAUGGGGGAAACCCUGAUGGAGCAACGCCGCGUGCAGGAGGAAGGCCUUCGGGUUGUAAACUGCUUUUAUCUGUGAAGAUUAUGACGGUAGCAGAUGAAUAAGGACCGGCUAACUCCGUGCCAGCAGCCGCGGUCAUACGGAGGGUCCAAGCGUUAUCCGGAAUUACUGGGCGUAAAGAGUUGCGUAGGUGGCAUAGUAAGCAUACAGUGAAAUCGUGAGGCUCAACCUCAUAUCCAUUGUAUGAACUGCUAAGCUUGAGCAUGANANAGGUAGAUGGAAUUUCUAGUGUAGGAGUGAAAUCCGUAGAUAUUAGAAGGAACACCGAUGGCGUAUGCAGUCUACUGGCUCAUUGCUGACACUAAGGCACGAAAGCGUG